CAUAUAUGUGGGAAAAUAAUCACAUACUUAUGCAAACGUAUGAAGACAGGAGGUCUUCAAAUCAAAAUUUUACCCAUUGUAAAAUGGUGUAUAAUUAUGUUGUAUGUAAUUUGGGAUGAACUGAGGAUUAAACCACAAAGUUUUGUUAACCUAAUGGCUGAACAUAGAACAUAACGACUUAUAUGGGAUUAUCACAUAACCUGGGGGUUCAAUUACAAAUUCAUCAAAGAGAUAAGAAAUCCCCAAUUUCUGCCGUGUGGCUAGGGAUUUUACACCGCCACCGGCCGGAGGGCCUGCCGCGUCGGCCAUUACUGCGCGCCGGAGGGCGCCGUUGGAGCGUGUCGCCUGCCGUGUGCCGUGGCUGAGGGCCUGAUGUCGCGGGAGUGGUCGUGUCUACUAGCAGCCAUGCCGGAGGGCGCCGUGCGUCCCGUCGCCUCCUUGAUGCCGACCAAGAGUGCUCGGGCGCCGCGUGCCUGUGCCGCGUCGGAGGUCCACUCCAGUCUCCACGCCGUGCAGGCUGUCGUCUGGAGCUGGUCUAAUGUGGCUGAGGCGUCCGUGCUGCCGGCCUAGCGCGUGCCGAGGGCAGUCUUUGGAUGCGCUGGGACUCUGCACUUUCAUGGCGAAGGUCAAAGGGAGGGUUUCAAGGGUUUAUAAUUCAUGAAUGCAUGCGAAGAACAAGUCAAUCAUUACCAGAGGACUCCUACAAAGGGUUUAAGACUAGGCACCACGCAGUGGAUGCUUACUCCAAGUAUGUGCACAAGCAUGCAAGCAAUGUCGAAGUAGGCAAGGCUCCUCGUCAUUAUGGGCUAUGUGGGAUGAAGAACAUCAUCUCAUCAUCUAGUUCGUCGUGAUUUGUAGUGUUGUUUUAUAGGUGUGAUCGUAUGUAAGGUGUAGUUGGUAAGCUUACCAUGUACGAGACAACGUAAGAAGACGUCACUGCAUGUAUGCAACCAAACAUCAUGUAAUCAUA